ACUAUAAAGAAACCCAGCGGAUUAAAAACUGUUUUGAGCCACUCUCUCAUAAAACUUCAGAAUGUGACUUGUACUACGUGUUGGCUGUGAUAGAAGUCAAGAAAUAGGAGUGAUUGAAGUCUACAUGCCAGCAGUACACAGAAUCAAGUUGAAUAGGAAUUGAUAGUAGCCACAGAGAGAAGUUGACAUUUUCGGUGCACUCAAGUCACAUUUUGAAUGGUUAGUGUAAGGUGUUCCAGUUGCUAAGUCUACUUGCCAGCAGUACACACUUUCAAGAUGAGACGCCACCACUUGCCGGCGGAGAGCUUCAAAUUUUGUCCUAAACUCGGCACUUAGGGCCGUUGAGCAGAGAAGGAUCAUUUUCGUG